GAAAGAGUUAAGCGGGCUCGCGGGUGACAUCACCUCAUUUACAUAGGAGCGGCCAUAUAGCGGCGCUCGCCGCGCCCCGCCCGACCCCGACACUCGGCGGUGGCCACUGCACAGACCAGACUUCGUUCUCUAGCGCACCUCUCUCCGCGUCCUCCGCGACCAUGUCUGACAAACCCGAUAUGGCUGAGAUCGAGAAAUUCGAUAAGUC